rnacentral:lncRNA from 1 species
GACACGCUCUCAACAAGAGCGCACCUUUUUUUCCCCAUUAAGAACACCUUCGAUUCUCGUUUGGUUUUCCCUCCACACGCGCGCAGCAACUGGUGAUCGAUUCGCACUUCCGGCACAGCUCGGCACUCCUCCUCCUCCUCUCUCUCUCUUCGACUCGUACACACAUUUCUCAAGAUCGAAGAUUCCUCCUGUAAAAUCGUAACAAACAAAAUUACUGGUUAAACUCGAGGAAAUGGGAAGAAGGAGAAGCAGCAGUUUAUAA